rnacentral:rRNA from 1 species
ACUCAAAUGAAUUGACGGGGGCCCGCACAAGCGGUGGAGCAUGUGGCUUAAUUCGAUGCAACGCGAAGAACCUUACCUGGGCUUGACAUGUAACUGCACGGCCGGUGAAAGCCGGCCUCCUUCGAGGGUGUUACACAGGUGCUGCAUGGCUGUCGUCAGCUCGUGCCGUGAGGUGUUAGGUUAAGUCCUGCAACGAGCGCAACCCCUGUGACUAGUUGCUACCGGGUCAAGCCGAGCACUCUAGUCAGACUGCCUGUGAUAAGCAGGAGGAAGGUGGGGAUGACGUCAAGUCAGUAUGGUCCUUAUGCCCAGGGCCGCACACGUGCUACAAUGAUCAGUACAGAGGGACGCGAGACCGCGAGGUGGAGCAAAUCCCAGAAAACUGAUCUCAGUUCAGAUUGGAGUCUGCAACUCGACUCCAUGAAGCCGGAAUCGCUAGUAAUGGCGCAUCAGCUACGGCGCCGUGAAUACGUUCCCGGGCCUUGUACACACCGCCCGU